AUUCCAGCUCCAAUAGCGUAUACUAAAGUUGUUGCAGUUAAAAAGCUCGUAGUUGAAUUUCUGGGUGUGAUAGGCGGUCCGUGUGCAUAACAUGUGUACCUCCCUCUCAUGCCCAUCCUCGAAGUGAAUAUGCAUUGCCUUAACUGUGUCGUGUAUAGGACCUUCGUCAUUUACUGUGAGCAAAAUAGAGUGUUCAAAGCAGGCUUAUGCCGUUGAAUAUAUUAGCAUGGAAUAAUAAGAUAUGACUUCUGUCUAUUUUGUUGGUUUGCAUUCGGAAGUAAUGAUUAAUAGGGAUAGUUGGGGGUUUUCGUAUUCAAUUGUCAGAGGUGAAAUUCUUGGAUUUACGGAAGACGAACUACUGCGAAAGCAUCAACCAAGGAUGUUUUCAUUA
rnacentral:rRNA from 1 species